rnacentral:rRNA from 1 species
AACGCGAAGAACCUUACCAGGGCUUGACAUGUACCGGAAAACGGCGGAAACGUCGUCCUCCCGCAAGGGACCGGUAUGCAGGUGUUGCAUGGCUGUCGUCAGCUCGUGUCGUGAGAUGUUGGGUUAAGUCCCGCAACGAGCGCAACCCCCGUGGCAUGUUGUAUCUCUCAUGCCAGACUGCCGAGAGAAACUCGGAGGAAGGUGGGGAUGACGCCAAGUCAGCAUGGCCCUUAUGCCCUGGGCUACACACACGCUACAAUGGCCGGUACAACGGGUUGCCAAACCGCGAGGUGGAGCUAAUCCCCUAAAGCCGGUCUCAGUUCGGAUUGCAGGCUGCGACUCGCCUGCAUGAAGCCGGAGUUGCUAGUAACCGCAGGUCAGCACACUGCGGUGAAUAUGUUCCCGGGCCUUGUACACACCG